rnacentral:lncRNA from 1 species
GGGGGCGUGGUAGGAGCAGGGCUCAGCACUGGCGUGACACAGGAACAUGAUAAAACCACUUCUUGUGUUCCACCAUAUUGUCAGAAUUUGACAUUUAUCAGAAUCAGAAUCAGGUUUUAUGGCCUUUUUUAGUCUUAUUUAAGUGAAAUGUCGUUGCACUGGCUCUAACCAGUGUGAAAUGGCUCAAAUAGAAACAUAAAAAAUAUAAUGGGGUCUUGCCAAGAGUACACUGUCGAUAAGGACAUCUGUUGGUAAGGACACCGUCUCUAUGACUCAGCCCUGCAGUCUACUGAAGGUAAAUCGGAGCAUAAAGCUGUCAAUAUUUCAAGAGGCGACUUAAAUCGGAUAAUCCUCAUGCAGGAGUUGGAAAAGACCUUCGGUGAGUUUCUCAUCGCACAAGGAAACAGACCGCGGUAGCACGAGCAGCUGCCUGGCAUGCUGAUGAUGUCAAUGCGGCGGCGAGAGUGUCACCACAGCUGCUCCUCGCCCGCCCGCUCCCUCGUUCUUCUUCCCACCCGACCCACGGCCUCCCGCUUAAUUAGAACACCGGCGGAGCCGCCGCCGCAGCCUGCCAGAUUGGGAGGCGACUGGAAGCAGACCAGGGUCGCUCCUUCAUUCAGAGGGGCGCGCUGGGAGCAGCAGCCGACACCGAGC